rnacentral:rRNA from 1 species
GAUGAACGCUGGCGGCGUGCCUAAUACAUGCAAGUCGAGCGAACAGAUAAGGAGCUUGCUCCUUUGACGUUAGCGGCGGACGGGUGAGUAACACGUGGAUAACCUACCUAUAAGACUGGGAUAACUUCGGGAAACCGGAGCUAAUACCGGAUAACAUAUUGAACCGCAUGGUUCAACAGUGAAAGGCGGCUUUGCUGUCACUUAUAGAUGGAUCCGCGCCGCAUUAGCUAGUUGGUAAGGUAACGGCUUACCAAGGCAACGAUGCGUAGCCGACCUGAGAGGGUGAUCGGCCACACUGGAACUGAGACACGGUCCAGACUCCUACGGGAGGCAGCAGUAGGGAAUCUUCCGCAAUGGGCGAAAGCCUGACGGAGCAACGCCGCGUGAGUGAAGAAGGUCUUCGGAUCGUAAAACUCUGUUAUUAGGGAAGAACAAAUGUGUAAGUAACUAUGCACGUCUUGACGGUACCUAAUCAGAAAGCCACGGCUAACUACGUG